CGUGGGUUGCAAAGUGAGUAAUGGCUGCAUCUGGGAGCUGAUCAAAGGUGGCCAGCCAAGUUGAGUAGCCAGUUCGGUGUAUGAGACUUAACAACACUGGUUUCCCCGGCCAUGGAAGGAGUCUUGAGCAGAGUGUGAGAAUGGCCAGGUGGCGGAAGUGUCUGAGAAGAUCCUGCAUCGAUCCAGGUGUGAGCGCUGAACCCCUGUCCACCUAGCAAAGGUCACAUGAU
rnacentral:lncRNA from 1 species